UUUUUCAGGGCAGGGUGUGAUUCCCUACUGGCGGUAAAGUCCGCGAGCCUUUUGGGCACGAACCGGUGCAACUCCGGUACCAACGGUACAGUCCGGAUGAAAGAAAAA
rnacentral:ncRNA from 1 species